ACCCGCGUACAUGCCACCGGGGCAUCCCGGAGGCAGGAAAGGCUUCGGCCGGACAGGGAUGGGCAUGCGGCGCAUUAGGCAGUAGGCGGGGUAACGGCCCACCUAACCGACGAUGCGUAGGGGUUCUGAGAGGAAGGUCCCCCACACUGGUACUGAGACACGGACCAGACUCCUACGGGAGGCAGCAGUGAGGAAUAUUGGUCAAUGGUCGGGAGACUGAACCAGCCAAGCCGCGUGAGGGAUGAAGGUACAGAGUAUCGUAAACCUCUUUUGUCAGGGAACAAAGGCGGGGACGUGUCCCCGGAUGAGUGUACCUGAAGAAAAAGCAUCGGCUAACUCCGUGCCAGCAGCCGCGGUAAUACGGAGGAUGCGAGCGUUAUCCGGAUUUAUUGGGUUUAAAGGGUGCGCAGGCGGUCUGUUAAGUCAGCGGUCAAAGCCCGGGGCUCAACCCCGGCCCGCCGUUGAAACUGGCAGUCUCGAGUUGGAGAGAAGUAUGCGGAAUGCGCGGUGUAGCGGUGAAAUGCAUAGAUAUCGCGCAGAACUCCGAUUGCGAAGGCAGCAUGCCGGCUCCACACUGACGCUGAGGCACGAAAGCGUGGGUAUCGAACAGGAGUAGAUACCCUGGUAGUCCACGCAGUAAACGAU
rnacentral:rRNA from 1 species